rnacentral:rRNA from 1 species
AGUGGGGAAUCUUGGACAAUGGGGGCAACCCUGAUCCAGCCAUGCCGCGUGAGCGAUGAAGGCCUUAGGGUUGUAAAGCUCUUUCAGCGGGGAAGAUAAUGACGGUACCCGCAGAAGAAGCCCCGGCUAACUCCGUGCCAGCAGCCGCGGUAAUACGGAGGGGGCUAGCGUUGUUCGGAAUUACUGGGCGUAAAGCGCACGUAGGCGGAUCAGUUAGUCGGGGGUGAAAUCCCGGGGCUCAACCCCGGAACUGCCUUUGAUACUGCUGGUCUUGAGGUCGAGAGAGGUGAGUGGAAUUCCGAGUGUAGAGGUGAAAUUCGUAGAUAUUCGGAGGAACACCAGUGGCGAAGGCGGCUCACUGGCUCGAUACUGACGCUGAGGUGCGAAAGCGUGGGGAGCAAA